rnacentral:rRNA from 1 species
CCUGACUGCUAUCGGAUUGAUACUAAGCCAUGCGAGUCAUUGUAGCAAUACAAGGCAUACGGCUCAGUAACGCGUAGUCAACCUAACCUAUGGACGGGAAUAACCUCGGGAAACUGAGAAUAAUGCCCGAUAGAACACUAUACCUGGAAUGGUUUGUGUUCCAAAUGAUUUAUCGCCAUAGGAUGGGACUGCGGCCUAUCAGUUUGUUGGUGAGGUAAUGGCCCACCAAGACUAUUACAGGUACGGGCUCUGAGAGGAGUAGCCCGGAGAUGGGUACUGAGACACGGACCCAGGCCCUAUGGGGCGCAGCAGGCGAGAAAACUUUGCAAUGUGCGAAAGCACGACAAGGUUAAUCCGAGUGAUUUGUGCUAAACGAAUCUUUUGUUAGUCCUAGAAACACUAACGAAUAAGGGGUGGGCAAGUUCUGGUGUCAGCCGCCGCGGUAAAACCAGCACCUCAAGCGGUCAGGAUGAUUAUUGGGCCUAAAGCAUCCGUAGCCGGCUCUGUAAGUUUUCGGUUAAAUCUGUACGCUUAACGUACAGGCUGCCGGGAAUACUGCAAAGCUAGGGAGUGGGAGAGGUAGACGGUACUCGGUAGGAAGUGGUAAAAUGCUUUGAUCUAUCGAUGACCACCUGUGGCGAAGGCGGUCUACCAGAACACGUCCGACGGUGAGGGAUGAAAGCUGGGGGAGCAAACCGGAUUAGAUACCCGGGUAGUCCCAGCUGUAAACUAUGCAAACUCAGUGAUGCAUUGGCUUGUGGCCAAUGCAGUGCUGCAGGGAAGCCGUUAAGUUUGCCGCCUGGGAAGUACGUACGCAAGUAUGAAACUUAAAGGAAUUGGCGGGGGAGCACCACAAGGGGUGAAGCCUGCGGUUC